UACGUAGGGGGCUAGCGUUGCUCGGAAUCACUGGGCGUAAAGGGUGCGUAGGCGGGUCUUUAAGUCAGGGGUGAAAUCCUGGAGCUCAACUCCAGAACUGCCUUUGAUACUGAGGAUCUUGAGUUCGGGAGAGGUGAGUGGAACUGCGAGUGUAGAGGUGAAAUUCGUAGAUAUUCGCAAGAACACCAGUGGCGAAGGCGGCUCACUGGCCCGGUACUGACGCUGAGGUGCGAAAGCGUGGGGAGCAAACAGG
rnacentral:rRNA from 1 species